rnacentral:rRNA from 1 species
CACAUGCAAGUCAGGGGGAAAGCUAGCUUCGGCUGGUGAGUACACCGGCGGACGGGUGAGUAACGCGUGAGGAACCUACCCCGCAGACCGGGAUAACCCAUCGAAAGGUGGGCUAAUACUGGAUAAGCGCACGCGACGGAUGUUGUGUGUGAAAAGGCAGGUCACUUUUUUGUGGCUUGUGCUGUGGGAUGGUCUCGCGUCCCAUUAGCUAGUUGGUGAGGUAACGGCUCACCAAGGCGACGAUGGGUAGCCGGCCUGAGAGGGUGGUCGGCCACACUGGGACUGAGACACGGCCCAGACUCCUACGGGAGGCAGCAGUGGGGAAUAUUGCGCAAUGCCGGAAACGGUGACGCAGCGACGCCGCGUGGGUGAGGAAGGCCUUCGGGUCGUAAAGCCCUUUCAGUGGGGAAGAAAGGCAUAGUCAGUAACUGGGCUAUGUUUGACGGUACCCACAGAAGAAGCCCCGGCUAACUCCGUGCCAGCAGCCGCGGUAAUACGGAGGGGGCGAGCGUUGUUCGGAGUCACUGGGCGUAAAGCGCGCGUAGGCGGCGUGGUGAGUCAAGGGUCAAAGGCUACGGCUCAACCGUAGUAAGGCCUUUGAUACUAUCAUGCUAGAGUGCCGGAGAGGGUAGCGGAAUUCCCUGUGUAGCGGUGAAAUGCGUAGAUAUAGGGAGGAACACCGGUUGCGAAGGCGGCUACCUGGCCGGUAACUGACGCUGAGGUGCGAGAGCGUGGGGAGCGAACAGGAUUAGAUACCCUGGUAGUCCACGCUGUAAACGAUGGGCGCUAGGUGUUGGUGGUUAGUAGCCAUCAGUGCCGAAGCUAACGCGUUAAGCGCCCCGCCUGGGGAGUACGGCCGCAAGGCUGAAACUCAAAGGAAUUGACGGGGGCCCGCACAAGCGGUGGAGCACGUGGUUUAAUUCGAUGCUAACCGAAGAACCUUACCUGGGCUUGACAUCCCUGGUACCUAGCAGAGAUGC